GAUAUGAACUCUCCGAAAAAAUUACGCUGUUAUCCCUAAGGUAAGUUAAUCUUAUAAUCAAAAAUUCUGGAUCAAAAAAACAUAAAUUAAUGAAUAAAAUAUUAAAAGUUAAAUAAAUUUUAAUGUCACCCCAACAAAACUUUAUAUUCUAAAAAAUUGUUUAAUAAACAAAAAACAAUAAUUAAUAAAUAAAGUAAACUUCUAUAGGGUCUUCUCGUCCUAUAAAAAAAUUUUAGCUUUUUAACUAAAAAAUUAAGUUCAAAAUAAUUAAAAAAAGAAAGUUUAUCUUUCAUCAAACCAUUCAUACUAGCCUUCAAUUAAAAGACAAAUGAUUAUGCUACCUUCGUACAGUUAAAAUACCGCAGCCUUUUAAUUCAUAAAAAUCAAUGGGCAGGUCUGAUCUUAAAUUAAAAUCAAAAGACC
rnacentral:rRNA from 1 species